rnacentral:rRNA from 1 species
GACGAACGCUGGCGGCGGGCUUAACACAUGCAAGUCGAACGGAAAGGCCCUGCAUUUGUGGGGUUCUCGAGUGGCGAACGGGUGAGUAACACGUGAGUAACCUGCCGUUGACUUUGGGAUAACUUCUGGAAACUGGGGCUAAUACUGGAUAGGAGCUCCGGCUGCACGGUGGGGGUGGGAAAGUUUCGGCGGUUGGGGCUGGACGCGCGGCUAAUCAGCUUGUUGGUGGGGUAGUGGCUUACCAAGGCUUUGACUGAUAGGCGGCCUGAGAGGGUGAACGGCCACCUUGGGCCUACGAUACGGACCAGACUCCUACGGGACGCAGCAGUGGGGAGUAUUGCACAAUGGGGGGAAGUGUAUUGCGACAACGCCCGGUUCGGGAUGACCGCCCUCCGGUUAUAAACCGAUUACGCCUGUGACGAAGCGUGAGUGACGGUAAUGGGUAAAGAAGCACCGGCUAACUACGUG